UAGCAAUCAUCAGAUCUACGGCCGAUUUGGCACACAGUGGCAGUGUGUCACCAGGGCCAGUGUCACCGCCACAUUCAGCUGCUGGGAGUAGUGGAGGUAAUGGAGGGUCAAUACUGCCAGACGUGUCCCCUCCUGACCGCAGAGACGACGGCCUCAGUCCACCGCCACCGGCUACGUCUGCGCCACCAGUCUCCCAGCUAUUUACAUAUUCCAGUAUGAGUCCAGUGAGUGCCAUGUCAGGAGUUAUUUCUCCCACAAGUAUGAGCCUCUUCACCUCUCCCGGUACCACCCCACGUACCACCCCACGGUCAACGCCACCGGUGCCACGCUGGAA